rnacentral:rRNA from 1 species
GAUGAACGCUGGCGGCGUGCCUAAUACAUGCAAGUCGAGCGAACGGACGAGAAGCUUGCUUCUCUGAUGUUAGCGGCGGACGGGUGAGUAACACGUGGAUAACCUACCUAUAAGACUGGGAUAACCUCGGGAAACCGGAGCUAAUACCGGAUAAUAUUUUGAACCGCAUGGUUCAAAAGUGAAAGACGGUCUUGCUGUCACUUAUAGAUGGAUCCGCGCUGCAUUAGCUAGUUGGUAAGGUAACGGCUUACCAAGGCAACGAUGCAUAGCCGACCUGAGAGGGUGAUCGGCCACACUGGAACUGAGACACGGUCCAGACUCCUACGGGAGGCAGCAGUAGGGAAUCUUCCGCAAUGGGCGAAAGCCUGACGGAGCAACGCCGCGUGAGUGAUGAAGGUCUUCGGAUCGUAAAACUCUGUUAUUAGGGAAGAACAUAUGUGUAAGUAACUGUGCACAUCUUGACGGCACCUAAUCAGAAAGCCACGGCUAACUACGUG